rnacentral:SRP_RNA from 1 species
CCGUGCUAGAUGGGGAGGUAGCGGUGCCCUGUACCCGAAAUCCGCUUUACGCGGGGUUGAACUCCCGACCUGAGGAUGUCAUUCUUUUGGUCUGACAGGAUGUAAGUGGUGUUGAGGGUUGGGUCCCACGCGACGGGAUGCUCCGAACCAGGUCAGGUCCUGACGGAAGCAGCCUUAAGGAGAUUUUCUCGUGUGCCGUGGGGGUGCCUGGCCGGAGCUAACUGCGUCCUGUUCCGCAGGGGAGUGGCAAACGACGGUUGGGUGCACGG